rnacentral:rRNA from 1 species
CGGGUUGUAAAGCACUUUAGGUGGGGAAGAAGGGUGUUAUUUGAAUAGAGUGACACAUUGACGUUACCCACCAGAAUAAGCACCGGCUAACUCUGUGC